rnacentral:rRNA from 1 species
AACGAACGCUGGCGGCAUGCCUAACACAUGCAAGUCGAACGAGACCUUCGGGUCUAGUGGCGCACGGGUGCGUAACGCGUGGGAAUCUGCCCUUGGGUUCGGAACAACAGUUGGAAACGACUGCUAAUACCGGAUGAUGACUUCGGUCCAAAGAUUUAUCGCCCAGGGAUGAGCCCGCGUAGGAUUAGCUUGUUGGUGAGGUAAAAGCUCACCAAGGCGACGAUCCUUAGCUGGUCUGAGAGGAUGAUCAGCCACACUGGGACUGAGACACGGCCCAGACUCCUACGGGAGGCAGCAGUGGGGAAUAUUGGACAAUGGGCGAAAGCCUGAUCCAGCAAUGCCGCGUGAGUGAUGAAGGCCUUAGGGUUGUAAAGCUCUUUUACCCGGGAUGAUAAUGACAGUACCGGGAGAAUAAGCCCCGGCUAACUCCGUGCCAGCCGCCGCAGUAAGAC